GCCUCCGUAGUCUAGUGGUAGGACGUCUCUCAAAUAUGUGACAGAAGUUUCAAAGAUUCAGGAGAAGCCGAGGGUUCGAAUCAUUCCGGGGGCA